rnacentral:rRNA from 1 species
UUAAGCGAACAAGCGUACACGGUGGAUGCCCUGGCAGUCAGAGGCGAUGAAGGACGUGCUAAUCUGCGAAAAGCGCCGGUAAGGUGAUAUGAACCGUUAUAACCGGCGAUGUCCGAAUGGGGAAACCCGGUGCACUUCGGUGCAUCAUCGUUAGCUGAAUACAUAGGCUAACGAAGCGAACCGGGGGAACUGAAACAUCUAAGUACCCCGAGGAAAAGAAAUCAACCGAGAUUCCCCCAGUAGCGGCGAGCGAACGGGGAACAGCCCAGAGCCUGAAUCAGCUUGUGUGUCAGUGGAACGGUCUGGAAAGGCCGGCGAUACAGGGUGACAGCCCCGUACACGAAGGCACACAGGCUGUGAGCUCGAUGAGUAGGGCGGGACACGUGAUAUCCUGUCUGAAGAUGGGGGGACCAUCCUCCAAGGCUAAAUACUCCUGACUGACCGAUAGUGAACCAGUACCGUGAGGGAAAGGCGAAAAGAACCCCGGCGAGGGGAGUGAAACAGAACCUGAAACCGUGUACGUACAAGCAGUGGGAGCCUUCGUAAGAGGGUGACUGCGUACCUUUUGUAUAAUGGGUCAGCGACUUAUAUUCUGUAGCAAGGUUAACCGUAUAGGGGAGCCGAAGGGAAACCGAGUCUUAACCGGGCGUUAAGUUGCAGGGUAUAGACCCGAAACCCGGUGAUCUAGCCAUGGGCAGGUUGAAGGUUGGGUAACACUAACUGGAGGACCGAACCGACUAAUGUUGAAAAAUUAGCGGAUGACCUGUGGCUGGGGGUGAAAGGCCAAUCAAACCGGGAGAUAGCUGGUUCUCCCCGAAAGCUAUUUAGGUAGCGCCUCGUGAACUCAUCUCCGGGGGUAGAGCACUGUUUCGGCUAGGGGGCCAUCCCGGCUUACCAACCCGAUGCAAACUGCGAAUACCGGAGAAUGUUAUCACGGGAGACACACGGCGGGUGCUAACGUCCGUCGUGAAGAGGGAAACAACCCAGACCGCCAGCUAAGGUCCCAAAGUCAUGGUUAAGUGGGAAACGAUGUGGGAAGGCCCAGACAGCCAGGAUGUUGGCUUAGAAGCAGCCAUCAUUUAAAGAAAGCGUAAUAGCUCACUGGUCGAGUCGGCCUGCGCGGAAGAUGUAACGGGGCUAAACCAUGCACCGAAGCUGCGGCAGCGACACUAUGUGUUGUUGGGUAGGGGAGCGUUCUGUAAGCCUGCGAAGGUGUGCUGUGAGGCAUGCUGGAGGUAUCAGAAGUGCGAAUGCUGACAUAAGUAACGAUAAAGCGGGUGAAAAGCCCGCUCGCCGGAAGACCAAGGGUUCCUGUCCAACGUUAAUCGGGGCAGGGUGAGUCGACCCCUAAGGCGAGGCCGAAAGGCGUAGUCGAUGGGAAACAGGUUAAUAUUCCUGUACUUGGUGUUACUGCGAAGGGGGGACGGAGAAGGCUAUGUCAGCCGGGCGACGGUCGUCCCGGUUUAAGCGUGUAGGCUGACUUUCCAGGCAAAUCCGGAAAGUUAAGGCUGAGGCGUGAUGACGAGGCACCACGGUGCUGAAGUGACAAAUGCCCUGCUUCCAGGAAAAGCCUCUAAGCAUCAGGUAACAUCAAAUCGUACCCCAAACCGACACAGGUGGUCAGGUAGAGAAUACCAAGGCGCUUGAGAGAACUCGGGUGAAGGAACUAGGCAAAAUGGUGCCGUAACUUCGGGAGAAGGCACGCUGACAUGUAGGUGAAGCCCCUGCGGGUGGAGCUGAAGUCAGUCGAAGAUACCAGCUGGCUGCAACUGUUUAUUAAAAACACAGCACUGUGCAAACACGAAAGUGGACGUAUACGGUGUGACGCCUGCCCGGUGCCGGAAGGUUAAUUGAUGGGGUUAUCGCAAGAGAAGCUCCUGAUCGAAGCCCCGGUAAACGGCGGCCGUAACUAUAACGGUCCUAAGGUAGCGAAAUUCCUUGUCGGGUAAGUUCCGACCUGCACGAAUGGCGUAAUGAUGGCCAGGCUGUCUCCACCCGAGACUCAGUGAAAUUGAACUCGCUGUGAAGAUGCAGUGUACCCGCGGCAAGACGGAAAGACCCCGUGAACCUUUACUACAGCUUGACACUGAACAUUGAGCCUUGAUGUGUAGGAUAGGUGGGAGGCUUUGAAGCGUGGACGCCAGUCUGCGUGGAGCCAACCUUGAAAUACCACCCUUUAAUGUUUGAUGUUCUAACCUGGCGCCGUGAUCCGGCGUGGGGACAGUGUCUGGUGGGUAGUUUGACUGGGGCGGUCUCCUCCCAAAGUGUAACGGAGGAGCACGAAGGUCAGCUAAUCCUGGUCGGACAUCAGGAGGUUAGUGCAAUGGCAUAAGCUGGCUUGACUGCGAGAGUGACGGCUCGAGCAGGUGCGAAAGCAGGUCAUAGUGAUCCGGUGGUUCUGUAUGGAAGGGCCAUCGCUCAACGGAUAAAAGGUACUCCGGGGAUAACAGGCUGAUACCGCCCAAGAGUUCAUAUCGACGGCGGUGUUUGGCACCUCGAUGUCGGCUCAUCACAUCCUGGGGCUGAAGUAGGUCCCAAGGGUAUGGCUGUUCGCCAUUUAAAGUGGUACGCGAGCUGGGUUUAGAACGUCGUGAGACAGUUCGGUCCCUAUCUGCCGUGGGCGCUGGAGAAUUGAGGGGGGCUGCUCCCAGUACGAGAGGACCGGAGUGGACGCAUCACUGGUGUUCGGGUUGUCAUGCCAAUGGCACUGCCCGGUAGCUAAAUGCGGAAGAGAUAAGUGCUGAAAGCAUCUAAGCACGAAACUUGCCCCGAGAUGAGUUCUCCCUGAGACUGUAAGUCUCCUGAAGGAACGUUGAAGACGACGACGUUGAUAGGCCGGGUGUGUAAGCGCAGCGAUGCGUUGAGCUAACCGGUACUAAUGAACCGUGAGGCUUAACCUU